GAAGACUCACCAUGUGACUGAGUUCCAGAGGGCCACAAGCAAGAGAAGGCCGGAGCCCAGGAUGAAAGCCGUCCUCCUCAUGGAGCCCCAGAUGUGUCCCUCCUAGGGGAGGACAAGAAAGCGUCAGGUCCCAACAAGCCUCCUGCCUUCACACGCAGCUCACUGCUGAAGCCCGGCAGGAGUGAGCUGCCGUGAGGAUCUCAGUCGUGCCCCCCUGGCGCGUCUGCUGACCUUUUCCCAACUUCCGUGGAAGGCUCUCCCUUAUCAAGAGCUCUCAGGCUGUGCGCAGAGGUAUUAAAGAGUUGUUCCUGUGAGAUAAAAGAAUAUCAAUGGACUCUUAACCAGGACUUAAACAUGUCAUAACCUGGCUGAAGAGGAGCAUUACAGAUCAUCAUCCUGCCAUGUGACAAGGGUGAAGGAACCUAGAGAAAGGAGGCCAGGUGAGUUUAUAGAUGGCAGAGCCAGGAUCAGGCCCAACUUCCAAUAUCUCUAAGGAUGUUUUAUUCUUUUGUGGAUGAUUAUGCUUGGUUUUAUUAUUCUAGACGCAUUUUUACCAGCUUUGACCUUAGGAGAUACAGCUUCCCCUUGACCCUCAUUUCUUACAGAAUACUUAGGCUGGAGAAGGGAAGAGAGGAAUGGUGACGUAUAAAGUGCCUCCAGGGGUUUGAGAAGUUAGGACAGCAGAGGGAGGUGAUAAGCUGCUCACCAGCUCUACUGUGAAUCACAUCACAGCAGAAGGGAGGCAGUCAGCUCAGAGGAAAAGCCUGUCAGGGAGAAA